rnacentral:rRNA from 1 species
CACGUAGGGUGCAAGCGUUGUCCGGAAUCAUUGGGCGUAAAGAGCUCGUAGGCGGCUUAGUAAGUCGGGUGUGAAAACCCCAGGCUCAACCUGGGGACGCCACCCGAUACUGCUAUAGCUAGAGUCCAGUAGGGGAGUGUGGAAUUCCCAGUGUAGCGGUGAAAUGCGCAGAUAUUGGGAGGAACACCAAUGGCGAAGGCAGCUCGCUGGGACGGUACUGACGCUGAGACGCGAAAGCGUGGGGAGCAAACAGG